rnacentral:rRNA from 1 species
CCUACGGGUGGCUGCAGUGGGGAAUAUUGGACAAUGGGCGAAAGCCUGAUCCAGCCAUGCCGCGUGUGUGAAGAAGGCCUUCGGGUUGUAAAGCACUUUCAGUGGGGAAGAAAGCCUUGGGGCUAAUACCCUCGAGGAAGGACAUCACCCACAGAAGAAGCACCGGCUAACUCCGUGCCAGCAGCCGCGGUAAUACGGAGGGUGCGAGCGUUAAUCGGAAUUACUGGGCGUAAAGCGCGCGUAGGCGCUCUGAUAAGCCGGUUGUGAAAGCCCCGGGCUCAACCUGGGAACGGCAUCCGGAACUGUCAGGCUAGAGUGCAGGAGAGGAAGGUAGAAUUCCCGGUGUAGCGGUGAAAUGCGUAGAGAUCGGGAGGAAUACCAGUGGCGAAGGCGGCCUUCUGGACUGACACUGACGCUGAGGUGCGAAAGCGUGGGUAGCAAACAGGAUUAGAUACCCUAGUAGUC